UUUGCACACACCCAUACCCCACUCCCCACUCCCUUAUUCUUUUGUUUUCUCCGGCAAUCCUCCAGCCACAUCUCGAGGCACAAGACCAGGUUUUCUUCGGUGUGGGAACCAAGGCAAGUCACUUUCCACUCAGAGCCAAAGUCCACCCCUGUGCAACAGCACAGACCAUUCUUUCCAGCUCUUCACGUAAACUAGCACACACUGGAGAGUUCUGGACAUGGGUAGGAGGCUGCUUCCCUCUCCCAGGUGCCACUGCCCCUUCCCAGCCUUGUCAAACUGUAUCAGUUUCUGUGGCUGCUUCUUGACUUCCAUUCUCUGCAUCCCUCAUCAAGUUCAUUCUCUGGAACCAGCUCUAAAGACUCACGAGUUGAGCCUAAAGAUUCAUUGUGUGAGAGCAUCAGGAAGAGUGAACUGUGCCCAGCUCUGGCCCCCAGGAGAAGCCGAUUGCACGGAUGCUCAAAGCCAAACUCCCGAGUUCUCCUUCACUCCCACACAGGCAGCCCAGAGGUCCAAAGAGGAGGAGGCAGAGAAGACGCCAUUGCAGAGGAAAGGAGAGAACCAGGAGAGCAAGCGUGGGCAGCCACCAGGGAGGAAAGAGUCUUGUUGAAUGCUGCAGGAUGUUCUCAUAGCGUUGGAGCAAUGCUGAACUGCUCUGCAAAACAGAAGGAAAUGUAUUUGGACAUCCAAGGGAGAGAAGGAGAGGGCAUCCAAAAACAAAAGGAGGAAAGAAGGAAACCAGGAAGGUAGGGCAAGGUUAGGCAGUGUGGAGGGCAAAGAGCUGGGUCAACAUUUUAAAACAAGGAAGGCUGCUGCAUGAUUCUAAAUUACGUGUGGGGCGACGCUCACUGUGGCUUGCUCCCAAAGGGAAGUCUGUCAUGCUCCCAGAUCUUCAUGUAUGUGGGUCUCUUGGGGGUGGAGCAGCAAUGGACUGAUUUCACUUCUGGGCCAUGUGAAGUGAAGAGAGAGAGAGGGUUACUGGAUUUGCACCUCGAGAACAUAGGGUCCCUCAGGGACUCAUAGCAAUCUUUGCAGGAGUGAAGGGGGCUUUGGAAUGGGGAUUCAAGCCAUUCUGAUAGAUCUUAAGUGCCCCCAGUUGACAUCUGGCUCAUGCUUGUUAAGUGCAGAGCAUCUAAUAAACUCAGAGAAAACUGUUGACCUUUCUAAAGUAUAUCAAAGCCCUCUAGCAUAUCAUUUCCUGAAGAAUAAAUGAACAAGUACACACAUCUACCAUGGCUUGCAUGGUGUUUAACACUCCUUCCUUGCACUUGGCCACAGACCACAGCCACCCAGAGUUGGAAGAAUCCACAGAGAAGGCCCAGGUGAAAACCCAUUUACAGAUGAGGCAAUGGAGGCUCAGAAAGGAAAAGCAACUUUCUCAAGGCCACACAGCUAAUGGGUACAGAGCUGAGGCUCAAAGCCACAUUUUCUGCCCCCCUGGUUUCUGUUUUUUCCCCAGAGUACUGCGGUUGCUGUGAGUUAGGCUGAAGCCAAUUUGGGUUUGAGGGCAUUUCAUUAAAAUGUGUCCUGGGAGUCAGAAUAGGAGACAACGAGGCCUUGUUUUC
rnacentral:lncRNA from 1 species